AGAGAGUAUCUCGUCGAUGAUGCUCACUCGUCCUUUCAUGGCAGCCCAAUGGAGUGGCGUUCGGCCAUCGUUGUCUUGCAAAGAAGAGAGGUCGGUGUCUAAUCUUAGUAGCUCCCUGGUGGUCUCAAGAUGGCCUUUGCUGCAAGCUUGGUGUAAAGGAGUGCAUCCAUUAACGUCCUUCUUCCAUGCAAAAUCUGGGCGUAUUUUUAAGAUUUCCUUCACAAUUUCUGUAUGUCCUCCCAAAGCUGCAACGUGAAGAGAAGUAGUAAGCCCAUCGACCUCCAACAUGAGUAGAUGUUGAAAAUUCAAGAGACAAUUCACCACAUCAAGUCGCAGGCCGCAAAGAGAGCAGUCUCGUUGUCUUGGUUCACCUUAUAAACUACCCAAGGAUCGCUCUCUACCAAUAGCAUCACCAUAUCCGUUCUCCCUUCUCUGCAUGCCUCAAACAAUGGGGUCUCCGAUUUCUCGUUCACCUCCGACACCAUCUCUGGCUUCAGCUUUAGAAUCUCCUUCGCCAAUUCGAGAGGCCCAAAACGUGCUGCUAAGUGUAGAAUGGUGUUUGAGGACCAUGUAGUGAUUGUUUUGUCAAUGAUGUUUUCAUUUUCUCGAAUUAGGCUAAGAAAGGUCGGUAUGUCCCCUCUCAAGAUGGUCUCUUGUAGCCGUCGGUCCAUCUCUGUAGUUAGAGGGAGAGCUCAGAGAAGUUGAUAAUGGAGGAAACGAUUUGCGCUUGGAGGGAAGCAGAAAGAGACUAAAUAAUGAUAUGAAGGAAGAGCCCUUUUUUUUUCCACAGCUGCAGAAACCAUGAAGUUUCUUUGCAGCUGCUGAGGGUUUUUGAAACAUUUUUACAAGUGAACCUCCUUUGGUCAGUUGCAUGGGGCCGACAUAUAAAUGGAUCGUUUUGAGCAAAUUGCUUGUGCGUGUGCG
rnacentral:misc_RNA from 1 species